rnacentral:rRNA from 1 species
UACGUAGGGAGCAAGCGUUGUCCGGAAUCAUUGGGCGUAAAGCGCGCGUAGGUGGCCUCAUAAGUCCGUUGUGAAAGUCAAAGGCUCAACCCUUUGAAAGCCGAUGGAUACUGUGAGACUAGAGUACGGAAGAGGCGAGUGGAAUUCCUGGUGUAGCGGUGGAAUGCGCAGAUAUCAGGAGGAACACCAAUAGCGAAGGCAGCUCGCUGGGACGUUACUGACACUGAGGCGCGAAAGCGUGGGGAGCAAAAGGG